rnacentral:rRNA from 1 species
GUAGGUGGCAAGCGUUGUCCGGAAUUAUUGGGCGUAAAGCGCGCGCAGGUGGGUUCUUUAAGUCUGAUGUGAAAGCCCCCGGGCUCAACCGGGGAGGGUCGUUGGAAACUGGGGAACUUGAGUGCAGGAGAGGAAAGUGGAAUUCCACGUGUAGCGGUGAAAUGCGUAGAUAUGUGGAGGAACACCAGUGGCGAAGGCGACUUUCUGGCCUGUAACUGACACUGAGGCGCGAAAGCGUGGGGAGCAAACAGGAUUAGAUACCCUGGUAGUCCACGCCGUAAACGAUGAGUGCUAAGUGUUGGGGGGUUUCCGCCCCUCAGUGCUGCAGCUAACGCAUUAAGCGCUCCGCCUGGGGAGUACGGUCGCAAAGACUG